rnacentral:rRNA from 1 species
AUUGAACGCUGGCGGCAUGCUUUACACAUGCAAGUCGAACGGUAACAGGGAGCUUGCUCCGCUGACGAGUGGCGAACGGGCGAGUAAUGCGUCGGAACGUGCCGAGUAGUGGGGGAUAACGCAUCGAAAGGUGUGCUAAUACCGCAUACGAACUGAGGUUGAAAGUGGGGGACCUUCGGGCCUCACGCUAUUCGAGCGGCCGACGUCUGAUUAGCUAGUUGGUGAGGUAAAGGCUCACCAAGGCGACGAUCAGUAGCGGGUCUGAGAGGAUGAUCCGCCACACUGGGACUGAGACACGGCCCAGACUCCUACGGGAGGCAGCAGUGGGGAAUUUUGGACAAUGGGCGCAAGCCUGAUCCAGCCAUGCCGCGUGUCUGAAGAAGGCCUUCGGGUUGUAAAGGACUUUUGUCCGGGAGCAAAUGCUGGUGGCUAACAUCCACCGGAGCUGAGAGUACCGGAAGAAUAAGCACCGGCUAACUACGUGCCAGCCGCCGCAGUAAUAC